AACGAACGCUGGCGGCAUGCCUAAUACAUGCAAGUCGAACGAUCACUUCGGUGGUAGUGGCGCACGGGUGCGUAACGCGUGGGAAUCUGCCCUUGGGUUCGGAAUAACGUCGGGAAACUGACGCUAAUACCGGAUGAUGACGUAAGUCCAAAGAUUUAUCGCCCAGGGAUGAGCCCGCGUAGGAUUAGCUAGUUGGUGGGGUAAAGGCCUACCAAGGCGACGAUCCUUAGCUGGUCUGAGAGGAUGAUCAGCCACACUGGGACUGAGACACGGCCCAGACUCCUACGGGAGGCAGGAGUAGGGAAUAUUGGACAAUGGGGGCAACCCUGAUCCAGCAAUGCCGCGUGAGUGAUGAAGGCCUUAGGGUUGUAAAGCUCCUUUACCCGGGAUGAUAAUGACAGUACCGGGAGAAUAAGCCCCGGCUAACUCCGUGCCAGCCGCCGCGGUAA
rnacentral:rRNA from 1 species